UACCAGACUCCUACGGGAGGCAGCAGUGGGGAAUAUUGCACAAUGGGGGAAACCCUGAUGCAGCGACGCCGCGUGGGUGACGAAGUAUUUCGGUAUGUAAAGCCCUAUCAGCAGGGAAGAAGAUGACAGUACCUGACUAAGAAGCCCCGGCUAACUACGUGCCAGCAGCCGCGGUAAUACGUAGGGGGCAAGCGUUAUCCGGAUUUACUGGGUGUAAAGGGAGCGUAGGUGGCAUGGCAAGCCAGAAGUGAAAACCCGGGGCUCAACCCUGGGACUGCUCUGGAAACUGUAAAGCUGGAGUGCGGGAGGGGCAGGCGGAAUUCCUGGUGUAGCGGUGAAAUGCGUAGAUAUCAGGAGGAACACCGGCGGCGAAGGCGGCCUGCUGGACCGUAACUGACGUUGAGGCUCGAAAGCGUGGGGAGCAAACAGGAUUAGAUACCCGGGUA
rnacentral:rRNA from 1 species